rnacentral:rRNA from 1 species
CUUCAUCAAGGAAGAAGAUCUGACGGUACUUGAUGAUUAGCCACGGCUAAUUCGUGCCAGCAGCGCGUAUACGGGAGUGCAAGCGUAUCCGGAAUUAUUGGGCGUAAAGCGUCGCAGGCGGCCCUUCAAGUCUGCUGUUAAAAAGUGAGCUUAACUCCAUCAUGGCAGUGGAAACUGUUGGGCUUGAGUGUGGUAGGGGCAGAGGGAAUUCCCGGUGUAGCGGUGAAAUGCGUAGAUAUCGGGAAGAACACCAGUGGCGAAGGCGCUCUGCUGGGCCAUCACUGACGCUCAUGGACGAAAGCCAGGGGAGCGAAAGGGAUUAGAUACCCCUGUAGUCCUGGCCGUAAACGAUGAACACUAGGUGUCGGGGGAAUCGACCCCCUCGGUGUCGUAGCCAACGCGUUAAGUGUUCCGCCUGGGGAGUACGCACGCAAGUGUGAAACUCAAAGGAAUUGACGGGGGCCCGCACAAGCGGUGGAGUAUGUGGUUUAAUUCGAUGCAACGCGAAGAACCUUACCAGGGUUUGACAUCCUGCGAAUCUCUUGGAAACAGGAGAGUACCUUCGGGAACGCAGUGACAGGUGGUGCAUGGCUGUCGUCAGCUCGUGUCGUGAGAUGUUGGGUUAAGUCCCGCAACGAGCGCAACCCACGUCUUUAGUUGCCAGCAUUUAGUUGGGCACUCUAGAGAGACUGCCGGUGAUAAACCGGAGGAAGGUGUGGAUGACGUCAAGUCAUCAUGCCCCUUACAUCCUGGGCUACACACGUACUACAAUGCUACGGACAAAGGGCAGCAAGUUCGCGAGGACAAGCAAAUCCCAUAAACCGUGGCUCAGUUCAGAUCGUAGGCUGCAACUCGCCUACGUGAAGGCGGAAUCGCUAGUAAUCGCAGGUCAGCAUACUGCGGUGAAUACGUUCCCGGGCCUUGUACACACCGCCCGUCACACCAUGGAAGUUGGCCACGCCCGAAGCCGUUACUCCAACCCUU